rnacentral:lncRNA from 10 species
AUCUUUGCUGAGGGCUCAAGCGGAGCGAUAGGUCAUGGGAAACUUAGAAAAGAUAAAGAACCUAGGAAGAAAGGCUUCGGUUGCCCCCCGACCAGUACGCCAUCCUCAUACGGAGUGCGGGAGACGACCCUUUGUUGUCGGUGCUGUCACCCUAUCCCUCCCUGCUUGCGUAGGCGUAGGAGAGUUCCUAGGGCGGUGGAAGACUGGGCUGGUGGAGUGGGAUAGGCGACGUUGAGGCCUGUGGGGGCUGGGAGGACGAGUGAGUGGAGACUGGGGAACUCCAGAGCGCCCACUUGCAGCUGGAUUUUUAUGUGCAAUUUUCCUGAUUUUUAAAUAGUGGUGUUUAAUUACAAAGUAAAGUGCAGGAUAGCCCAAACGAAAUGUAUCUGAGGUCUAUAUAUGGACUUGAUUAAUUUUUACUUCCUGCACAGCCUUUUAUUUUCUGUGGAGUUAAUAAUUACUUGGCUACGCACGGUGGCUCACGCCUGUAAUCCCAGGCCUCGGUGGGCGGAUCACUUGAGUUCAGGAGUUCGAGACCAGCUUGGCCAACAUGGCGAAACCCCGUCUCUACUAAAAAUACAAAAAAAUUAGCCGGGCGUGGUAGGGCGCACCUGUAGUCCCAGCUACUAGGGAGGCUGAGGCAUGAGAAUCGCUUGAAUCCGGGAGGUGGAGGUUGCAGUGAGCAGCGAUCUUGCCACUGCACUCAGCCUGGUUGACAGAGCAAGACUCUGUCGCAAAAAACAAAACAAAAAACAUAAAAAUAAAUAAUUACGUUUGUUUGUGUUUGUAAACUAAAAAUAAAAUUGUAAGCCCCCCAAGCACUGAACGGACCUCCUCUUAGCCAAGGAGACCCCAGAGAAACCUUAAAAACUGAGUUCCCAGCCAUUCUGGAAAGGGAGGUUGAACACCCCUUGUUAAAGUAGAGAUCAUAAGACUAACAGACUUUGUGGUAGUAAGAUACCAAAUUAUAAACAAGACCUAAGGCCGUGCAAGGCAAGGGUUAAGUCAAGCUUGCAGACCAUCAAUCUUGCUGAAGAGGUCUUUUUUGACCCAGUGUAUUGUGGCUGAUUCUGGCAUACUAUCUUAAACAUUCUUUUCUGCUGACUCCAAAUUUUACACAGAGCCUCACUCUUUUAACCAGUUGCAAAUUAAAAAAUCUCUUGGUCAAGCUGGCUGAGGUGGGAGGAUCACUUGAGGCCAAGAGUUCAAGACUAGCCUGGGCAACAUAGGGAGACCCUAUCUACCCCUACCAAGAGAUCUAUCUAUCUAUCUAUCAAUCAAUCAUAUAUCGUGUAUAUAUCUAUGUAUUUGAGUCCACAUAUAACUUGUAAACCCCCCACAUCAAGACAUCCUGUCUUUUGGAGCCAAACCAGUGUAUACCUUCCACACAUUGAUUUAUGUCUUUGCCUGUAACCCCUGGCUCCCUGAAAUGUAUAAAACCAAACUAUAAUCUGACUGCCUCGGGAACACUUAAGGCUUUUUGGGUUUGUAUUUUCCUGGGGCUGUGGUCACUCAUUGGCCCUGAAUAAACCUCUUUAAGUAAUUUACAGAGUUUGAUUUUUCUGUUAACAGUUAAUUAAGAUUCCAUGUAUUUAUCACAAAUUCUACUCCAAAUCCUUCACAAGUUGUCUGUCAAAAGACAAUAUUACAACAGAUUUAUAGAUCUGUUAAAAGAAAAGCUUUAGACAAACUAAUGGAGUUUUGUUGAGGAAAGAACCUUGAAAACAUGCUAAGGGAAAGAAGUUAGACACAUGAGGCCACAUAUUGUAUAGUUCCAUUUAUAUUUGCAAUGUCCAGAGUAGGUGAAUUGAUAGAGUCACCUAUGUGAUGUUGAGGUGGGGAGAAUAGGGAGUGACUUCUGAUGGGUUUGAGGUUUCUUUUUGAGAUGGUAAAAGUGUCCUGGAAUUGGAUAAUAGGGAUGGUUGCACAACACUGAGUAUACUAAAAGCCACCUGUGACUUAAGAAAUAUAUAUGUGGUCUCUGCAUAGAGCUUCUAAAACCCUUGUAACUUUUUUCUUUAGGUUUUCAUUAAGGCAUUUUAUAAAGAUAAUAUCAUUUGUAUUUAUAAAAUGUUUGCUACAUAUACAUAAUAUAUAUAGUGUAUAUAUAAAUUUAAAUAUGCUCAAGUUACAAAGCAGAAUUAUGAAAAGAAACCCGUGAACCCAUUACUCCACUUAAGAAAUAGAAUAUUACCAAUAUUGUUGCAAUUUUCUGAGAGUUUCCUCUUCUUUCUUAUCCCUCCACCCCAGCUAAUUGCUAUCCUGAUGUUUUUCAUUUGUGUAUGUGUAUUUUAAUUUAAUUUAAAGUUCCAGGAUACAUGUGCAGGACGUGCAGGUUUGUUAUAUAGGUAAACGUGUGCCGUGGUGGUUUGCUGCACCUAUCAACUCAUCACCUAGGUAUUAAGCCCUGCAUGCAUUGGCUACUUAUCCUGGUGCUCUCCCUUCCCCCUGUCCCAUGGACAGACCCCAGUGUGUGUUGUACCCCUCCCUGUGUCCAUGUGUUCUCAUUGUUCAGCUCCCACCUAUAAGUGAGAACAUGCAGUGUUUGGUUUUCUGUUCCUGUGUUAGUUUGCCAAGGAUAAUGGCUUUCAGCGCCAUCUGUGUCCCUGCAAAGGACAUGAUCUCAUUCCUUUUUAUGGUUGCAUAGUAGUCCAUGGUGUAUAUGUACCACAUUUUCUUUAUCCAGGCUAUCAUUGAUGGGCAUUUGUAAAACACUUGUAACUUCUUGAAUGAUAGUGACAUCUUUUGUUAUUCAUCAUAAGCCCCUUUUAACCAUACCUGAGUUUAUGCCACUAAUGAAGUGGCUUUUGGAAGAUGGGAGCUGGUUAUCAGAGAAACCAACCAUGUGAUUAGAGGGCUGAAACUUUUAGCCCCACCUCUCAACCUCCAGAGAGAGGAGAGAGGCUGGAGAUUGAUUUGAUUACAGUUUAUCUAAAAGAAGAAACGGAGGC